GGUGGUUAAGUACUUGGCUGCUAACCAAAGUGCCGGCAGUUCAAACCUGUCAACCACUC
rnacentral:tRNA from 1 species